GAAGUCCAGGCUUCAUGGGAGACUGCCAAGGCUGUUUAUGUGGCAGCAGCACCAGCUCCUGUGAUGCAGAGCAUGUGCAACACAGGUGCAGCCUUCGGUGGUGCAGCUGCAAUACCUGCAACCUUAGAUGGAGCAGCUGGUACAGUCGGACCUGCAUCCGCUGAGGCAGCUGCUAAAGAGCCCGCUGAGGUGGAGCCAUAUCAGCUGCUAAACUUCCUAGAAUGUGAAAUGAUGCAUUUCUACGACGGUUGAUGUCAAGGUGACGUGGAAAGCCUGGGGUGACAACAUAGUGAACCAGGACAUAAGGUCAAGCGUUGCUGUGAAGAACCUGGCCAUUGCUCUGUGGGGGUCCAGUGUCCUGCAGAGGACUAUGGCCGAAAUGGCGUCG
rnacentral:lncRNA from 1 species